rnacentral:piRNA from 1 species
UCAUCAGUGGUCAUUAGAGAAGUGCAAA